UACUCUUGACAUCCAGAGAAUUCGCUAGAGAUAGCUUAGUGCCUUCGGGAGCUCUGAGACAGGUGCUGCAUGGCUGUCGUCAGCUCGUGUUGUGAAAUGUUGGGUUAAGUCCCGCAACGAGCGCAACCCUUAUCCUUGUUUGCCAGCACGUAAUGGUGGGAACUCCAGGGAGACUGCCGGUGAUAAACCGGAGGAAGGUGGGGACGACGUCAAGUCAUCAUGGCCCUUACGAGUAGGGCUACACACGUGCUACAAUGGCGCAUACAGAGGGCUGCAAACUAGCGAUAGUAAGCGAAUCCCAAAAAGUGCGUCGUAGUCCGGAUCGGAGUCUGCAACUCGACUCCGUGAAGUCGGAAUCGCUAGUAAUCGUAGAUCAGAGUGCUACGGUGAAUACGUUCCCGGGCC
rnacentral:rRNA from 1 species